AACGAACGCUGGCGGCAUGCCUAACACAUGCAAGUCGAACGAGAUCUUCGGGUCUAGUGGCGCACGGGUGCGUAACGCGUGGGAAUCUGCCCUUUGGUUCGGAAUAACAGUUGGAAACGACCGCUAAUACCGGAUGAUGACGAAAGUCCAAAGAUUUAUCGCCAGAGGAUGAGCCCGCGUAGGAUUAGCUGGUUGGUGUGGUAAAGGCGCACCAAGGCGACGAUCCUUAGCUGGUCUGAGAGGAUGAUCAGCCACACUGGGACUGAGACACGGCCCAGACUCCUACGGGAGGCAGCAGUGGGGAAUAUUGGACAAUGGGCGAAAGCCUGAUCCAGCAAUGCCGCGUGAGUGAUGAAGGCCUUAGGGUUGUAAAGCUCUUUUACCCGGGAUGAUAAUGACAGUACCGGGAGAAUAAGCUCCGGCUAACUCCGUGCCAGCAGCCGCAGUAA
rnacentral:rRNA from 1 species